UACGAAGGGGGCUAGCGUUGUUCGGAUUUACUGGGCGUAAAGGGCGCGUAGGCGGAUUUUUAAGUCGGGGGUGAAAUCCCGGAGCUCAACUCCGGAACUGCCUUCGAUACUGAAAGUCUGGAGCACGGUAGAGGUGAGUGGAAUGCCGGGUGUAGAGGUGAAAUGCGUAGAUAUUCGGAGGAACACCAGUGGCGAAGGCGGCUCACUGGACCGUUGCUGACGCUGAGGCGCGAAAGCGUGGGGAGAAAACAGG
rnacentral:rRNA from 1 species